GUGCCAGCCGCCGCGGUAACACCGGCAGCCCAAGUGAUGGCCGCUAUUAUUGGGCCUAAAGCGUCCGUAGCUGGCCGUUCAGGUCCGUCGGGAAAUCCACUGGCUUAACCAGUGGGCGUCCGGCGGAAACCGUUCGGCUUGGAACAGGGAGACCAGAGGGGUACGUCCGGGGUAGGAGUGAAAUCCCGUAAUCCUGGACGGACCAUCGGUGGCGAAAGCGCCUCUGGAGAACUGAUUCGACAGUGAGGGACGAAAGCUGGGGUCUCGAACCGGAUUAGAUACCCCUGUAGUCC
rnacentral:rRNA from 1 species